GUUAUCAGCAAGUUUUCCUAAACACGGACAUGGGCACAUUUCAGAUGUGCAAACCAACCUUCUGGAACAAAGUCAAAGGAACCAGUACUACAGGAAGCACUGCUGCGAUUUCAGAUUUACUCACCAAGGCACUUUCUUUUCACCCUUUCCAACUCAUGUACUCUUCUGGCUGACAGCACAAGAGAAACUCCUAGUUUGGACAGCUGGUAAGCCAGUUCCUCUCCAAUCCCACUGGACGCUCCGGUCACCCACACCACCAUAUCAGUCAGCUCCCAUUCUAUUGAAAAGUGGGUAGGGAUUGAGGGGAGAAAAUAAGCUAUGGGUUACAUCCAUAAAUCAAAGAUU